GAAGUCAAGCGUGGGUGGAGCCU
rnacentral:miRNA from 1 species